CGUGAGUGAUGAAGGCUUUCGGGUCGUAAAGCUCUGUCAAGUGGGAAGAACUUUCAUGGGGUUAAUAUCCUCAUGUUUUGACGGUACCACUGAAGGAAGCACCGGCUAACUCCGUGCCAGCAGCCGCGGUAAUACGGGGGGUGCAAGCGUUAUUCGGAUUUACUGGGCGUAAAGCGCGCGUAGGCGGCCGUUUAAGUCAGAUGUGAAAGCCCGGGGCUCAACCCCGGAAGUGCAUUUGAUACUAUUCGGCUUGAGUAUGGGAGAGGGAAGUGGAAUUCCUGGUGUAGAGAUGAAAUUCGUAGAUAUCAGGAGGAACACCGGUGGCGAAGGCGACUUCCUGGACCAAUACUGACGCUGAGGCGCGAAGGCGUGGGGAGCAAACAGGAUUAGAUACCCUGGUAGUCCACGCAGUAAACGGUGAUCACUAGGUGUAGCGGGUAUUGACCCCUGCUGUGCCGCAGCUAACGCAUUAA
rnacentral:rRNA from 1 species